CCUGAACGCUGGCGGCGUGGCUAAGACAUGCAAGUCGAACGGGUGUAGCAAUACACCAGUGGCGGACGGGUGAGUAAUGUAUCGCUAACGUGCCCUGGAAUCUGAGAUAGCCAAUCGAAAGGUUGGGUAAUACCAGAUGAAAUAUCCUUAUCGCAUGAUGAGGAUCUCAAAGGAGCAAUCCGGUCUGGGAGCGGGCGAUAUCGUAUCAGCUAGUUGGUGAGGUAACGGCUCACCAAGGCGACGACGCGUAGCCGGGCGUNAGAGGUCGGCCGGCCACAUUGGGACUGAGACACUG
rnacentral:rRNA from 1 species